UACGUAGGGGGCUAGCGUUGUCCGGAUUUAUGGGCGUAAAGAGCGUGUAGGCGGCCAGGUAGGUCUGCUGUGAAAACUCGAGGCUCAACCUCGAGACGUCGGCGGAAACCAUCUGGCUAGAGUCCGGAAGAGGAGAGUGGAAUUCCUGGUGUAGCGGUGAAAUGCGCAGAUAUCAGGAAGAACACCCGUGGCUAAGGCGGCUCUCUAGUACGGUACUGACGCUGAGACGCGAAAGCGUGGGGAGCGAACAGG
rnacentral:rRNA from 1 species